rnacentral:rRNA from 1 species
AGUGAACGCUGGCGGCAUGCCUAACACAUGCAAGUCGAACGGGUUUCGGCAGUUUAUCGCCGGAAUUAGUGGCAGACGGGUGAGUAAUACAUGGACAAUCUGCCCUCAAGAAGGGGAUAACCCGGGAAACCGGGGCUAAUACCGCAUGAGGCCACAAUCCCGCAUGGGGAAGAGGUUAAAGCUCCGCAAGGGGCGCUUGAGGACGAGUCUAUGGCCUAUCAGCUUGUUGGCGGGGUAACGGCCCACCAAGGCUACGACGGGUAGCCGGUCUGAAAGGACGACCGGCCACAAUGGCACUGAGACACGGGCCAUACUCCUACGGGAGGCAGCAGUGGGGAAUUUUGCUCAAUGGGCGCAAGCCUGAAGCAGCGAUGCCGCGUGGAGGACGAAGGUCUUCGGAUUGUAAACUCCUUUUGCGAGGGAAAAUGCCUGCGUGAAUAACGCAGGUUGAUGGUACCUCGCGAAUAAGCCACGGCUAACUUCGUGCCAGC